UUUCUUCCUUCUCCUUUCCUUUUCUUUCCCCUCUCCUCUCCUCUCCUCUCUUUUUCCUUCCCCUCUCCUCUCCUCUGUGUAUUCCAAAGACAGGAAAGAGACUGAAGUGGAGGUGGGCAAGAAGGCUGGAAGGUAGACUAAGGAAUAUGGAAGGGACUGCAAGCAAGUUGACAACUCUUAAGUUUUAUCCUGUAGACAAUGGGGAGCUACUGAAGGUUUCUGAAGAAAGGAGUUCUAUGGUGAAAGUGGUACCCCAGGAAGAUUAGUCUAGCUCUUUUUGGCCCUUGGAACCUUUACAAGAUGUCUCCAAUGUAUCCUUCCAAACUUUUGCACAUUACUCUCCUUAACACGCACUUCAUUCCAAACAAAGUAGCAUAUUGGCUGGGGCUCUUCACCUCUGCCUUACAGAACUGCUCCAUCUCAAGGUCUGCUUCAGUGCCACCUCCUAGAGGGGGCUCCUCUAAGUCCUCCCUAUACCAAAGUCACUUUGUAUAUAGAAUGUAAGGUCCUUGAGGGAAUGACAUUUUCAUUUCUGUCUCUGUCCCUCCAGUAGGUAGCAUACAGUGCUUGGCACACAGAAGAUGCCUAAUAAAUGCUGGUUAAAUUGAACUAAAUAGUAACAGUGCCUAUAAUAGACUGGAUCUGGGAAGGACAAGUCAAGGAACCCCCACCCAGGAGGCUGCUUGAAGUCCUCAGGGAGCCAUGGAAGGCAUAGAGACCACAGAAGAGAAGGGGCCAGAUCCACAACUUGCCACUCCUCCAAACAGUCACUCUUAUGGCUGCCCCCAGGCUCAUACAAGCAGCAAGUUGAAAUCGAUGGUGCCUUUCCCCCUGAGUGAGACAACUUGGAAAAAGGAAUUAAAAACUCAAGAUCUGAGUUACAAAAUCUCUCGGAGUUUGUUUCGUCAUCUGCAAGCAAAAAAAAAAAAA